rnacentral:rRNA from 1 species
CCUACGGGUGGCAGCAGUGAGGAAUAUUGGUCAAUGGGCGGAAGGCUGAACCAGCCAAGUAGCGUGCAGGAUGACGGUCCUAUGGGUUGUAAACCGCUUUUGUCAGGGAGCAAGGGGCGCUACGUGUAGGGUUUUGCAAGUACCUGACGAAAAAGGAUCGGUUAACUCCGUGCCAGCAGCCGCGGUAAUACGGAGGGUGCGGGCGUUAUCCGGAUUGAUUGGGUUUAAAGGGAGCGCAGGCGGAAUGGCAAGUGAGCGGUAAAAUUUCGGGGCUCAACCCGGUCGUGCCGUGGAAACUGGCGUUCUUGAGUGAGCGAGAAGCAGGCGGAAUGCGUGGUGUAGCGGUGAAAGGCAUAGAUAUCACGCAGAACCCCGAUUGCGAAGGCAGCUUACUGGCGCUCAACUGACGCUCAUGCACGAAAGCGUGGGUAUCGAACAGGAUUAGAUACCCUAGUAGUC